GGCUGUCCCAAAAAUGAAGUCAUCCGGAAAAUAACUACGGUUAAAGUUAUCCGGGACUCCAUUGUUACAAUCAGCCGUUGCUGGCUGAGAAAGAGCCAACAAGCCUAUGAUGAAGACGAGCAUCCCCAACAGAAGAGAGUGUUUGAUAGCCAAAGACAUAUUGAUGGUGUAACGAUUUUCAAGUGCUUGUGUCAUAAAUUAUGCUUCAAAUGACAC
rnacentral:misc_RNA from 1 species